AUGGACCAUUCCAUCCCUUUUUCCCGUGCAUAUGCAUCAGACUCGGAUGACGAUGGUCCCGACGAACAAGUUGAUGCGGAGGAGUUCACAGUGAAGGAGGCUGAAGCUUUUGAGAAGGUAUUCGGUCGGGAUCAUUGGACUACAUUGUUCAAAGAUGUUAGUCUCGCGGAUGAAGCCGUGGUAGAUGCUGGCCAAUGUAUAUCUGUUGGGGUUAGGCCAAGCUCUCACCGUGAUUUGGGAGAUGACAAGAACCGGAUUGCAAAAGGGUGUAAGUUCGAAACCUUCUUGGAAUUGAAGAUGUGGCUCGACAACUACUCGGUUACGCAUUAUCGUCCACACAAGGUGGUGCACUCGGACGUCAAUGUGCGCUACACGGUUUGCAUGUGCAUGUGA
rnacentral:rRNA from 1 species